rnacentral:rRNA from 1 species
UGCAGGGAUGCACUGGCGGCGACCGGCGUACGGGUGCGUAACGCGUAUGCAACCUGCCCCGCACCGGGGGAUAGCCCGCCGAAAGGCGGAUUAAUACCCCAUGGUCCCGGGGGCCCGCAUGGGCUACCGGGUAAAGCCUUGGCGGUGCGGGAUGGGCAUGCGUGCCAUUAGCUGGCUGGUGGGGUAACGGCCCACCAGGGCGACGAUGGCUAGGGGGUCUGAGAGGAUGGUCCCCCACACUGGUACUGAGACACGGACCAGACUCCUACCGGGAGGAAACUGAGGGAUAUUGGUCAAUGGGCGGAAGCCUGAACCAGCCAUGCCGCGUGCGGGAUGAAGGCCCUACGGGUUGUAAACCGCUUUUCCCCGGGAAGAAUAAGCCCCGACGCGUACGGGGAUGCCGGUAGACACGGGGAUAAGAUCG